CUAGUUUGCUCUUUGAUCUAAUGU
rnacentral:miRNA from 1 species